GUGUUACUUACCGGUUUGUUUUACCCAACUCGCAGCAAGCCAAAACGGUGAGAUGCUGAGGUUUGCACCAAAGCAAGGAGAUGGGCAAAUAGGUGUCAAAUCAUCUCGGAGAAGCCAAGACAAUCUUUGUACAGCACUGGCAUAACUAAGCUUCAGGCCUCUGCACAUUUUAAAGGUCACAAGUGCGCAUGCCUACGCAUGCCCAGACCAGCGGUCAGGGGUCCUUUCUAGCCCUAAGGCGCGCAGCUCGAACUAGACACAGCUGACUCUUGGCUCAGCCUUAACUACGUGCAGCUGACUCCAAGUUCCUGGAAAACAACUCAGGCAGGCAUCUUAUUGUUCAGGCUGCAUGCUGCCUGGAGGACGUGAAAAUCUUAAAACCUUGUUCAGAGAAGACACACUUCUUCAGAGCUGCUUGAAAAAGGCCGCUGCCCAGCCCAGCUUUCUCUGCCCAGCUUCUCACCGCCACUAUCUGGAGAUUGCAGGGGAUUUGCCUCUGGGACAAAUGGAGAAAGUGGCGUCAACACAGACACACUGUCAUGUGUGGAGCAGUCAGCUCUGAGAAGUUGUCUGUAACACAGGGAGCCCAGCCUGGUGCUCUGUGAUGACUUAGAUGAGUGAGAUAGGGACGGGGAGAGAGGCUGACCAGAGAGGGAAUGUCCAUACAGCUAAUUCACAUUGUUGUACAGCAGAAACC
ensembl:lncRNA